rnacentral:rRNA from 1 species
UACGAAGGGGGCAAGCGUUGUUCGGAAUUAUUGGGCGUAAAGGGCGCGUAGGCGGUUUGACAAGUCUGAUGUGAAAUCUAUGGGCUCAACCCAUAGCCUGCAUUAGAAACUGUCGGGCUUGAGUAUGGGAGAGGUGAGUGGAAUUUCCGGUGUAGCGGUGAAAUGCGUAGAUAUUGGGAGGAACACCAGUGGCGAAGGCGGCUCACUGGACCGGUUCUGACGCUGAGGCGCGAAAGCGUGGGGAGCAAACGGG